GGCGGCAUAGCCAAGUGGUAAGGCAGAGGUCUGCAAAAUCUUUAUCCCCGGUUCAAUUCCGGGUGCCGCCUCCA
rnacentral:tRNA from 1 species